UGCAAAGAUGGCUGGUAGAAUUUGCUUACCCAGAAAAUCAUGUGGAAUAAAAAGAUAAGGCGUAAUGAUAUUAACAAGAUUUCUCCAUCCGAUGAGUUUUAUCACAGCAUUUUCCAAGUUCGUACGUAUCUUGUUUCAUGUAAUGGCCCGAGUAAUUUAGCCAAGAUAGAACCCCCUUCCCCAGCAGGUGCAAGGAGUCAGGUUGGUAACAUGAACACAGUGACAGCUGGCAAGAGGCAGGGCUGUGUCUCCCACCGGAGAGGUCAGUCUCUUCGAAGUCUGAACUUUUGCCACCAGUUCAGCAACCUCAUGCAAUGCCAAGGAGGUCCCCUUGAUCUCCUCCAAAUCUCCAUCAGCCUUCCCUCGGACCCCCCCAAAACCCCAGAAAACAUACAGUGUAAGUUAAAGCAUGGUUGCUGUGCCAAUCUAGAUCCCAGUGAAGUCAUCCAGCCUCCUCCUGGGCCCUGUUGUGUAGGAAUCAGACAUCCCAGGCUAUAUCUGACCUCCAUCCCUAAUUGAGGGGUGGGUCACUCAGUUAAAUUCUGUACUGGGUUACCCAAUUCGCCCAGAGACUGAGCCACUCUUACAUAAGAUGUACAGACCAGCUGGUUUAAUGGCCUCGUUACCUAGGAUAUAAGGUAUAGGAUCACUGCCCUCCACCCCCAGCAAGCGGAUGUGGUUUUACUUAAGAAUAACUUUGGAAAUAAGUUUCUCCAGAACAGUUUCGUCUGAACAGGACUAUGAAGUUCCACUGCAUUGCUCUUAUUCCUGACAGAGUGAUGAAAGGGAGUUUAAGCAAGUGGCAUUCUGGAAAACCACCCAGCCUGGUGUGACUUUCAAUACCGGUCUGGUUUGGCUGGGAGAAUAUUUUAGAGUCCCAGAGUUACGCAACUGUGCUUUGUAUACUCUGCUUUGUGGCAGUGAUAGAAAAGGUGUCUGUCUGCCCUGAAUCCCUCUACCACCUCAGGAAAUAGGCUUUUGGCUCACAGAGGGGGUGAGAAGUUGUUUUGAACCACAAAGUCUAUCGAGGGCCUCAGCAGCACCUUGAAGUAAAAGGAUGGGUGAAAACCCAGCUGUUACCCUGGCGUGUGGUCCUGGGCGUGCUGCGUGACCGCUCAGUCUUGGUUCUCUGAUUUGUAGAAUGGGAAUGAAUAUGCUCACCUCGUGAGAUGGCGGUGAUGAUCAGACACUUUUGUAAAGAGACUAGCGAAAUGCCUGGUUUCAUCCGAAGGGAUCAAAAAAUGUUCACUUCCCUCAACUUUUCUUUGCAUUCCUUUCUCCCUUUACAUUAUAGCCAUGCCGUGUACAUUCAGUCGAUGGUCCAUGGGUGCACGAAGCAUAUAAUGUUUAUCCUUAAAUCAACACCUAUCCACGGGGUAGCUAGUGUGCGCAUUACACUCACUUCUUAGGAGGUUUUUAAAAGAUAAGCCCCAUUUUAGAAGGGCCUUCCACUCUCCCCUGGAUGACAGGGAAUAUGUACACAAAAAGACAAAGGACAGGGAAGGAUUAAUGGGAAAACGCUCCCGUUUAAGUAGGAGUUAGCUGAGCUGGAUUUUAGUCCUAUUUCUGACUCCCAAGGUUACCUGGGUAACAAUGAUAAAAUUUAUUGGGGGCUUAAUAUGUGCCAAGCAUUGUGGAUUAUCUCACUUAAUCCUAACAAUGACCUAGUAAAGUUGCUCUUGAUAUUAUCCCCAUUUUGCAGAUGAGCAGACUGAGACUUAAAGGGGUAAGUCACUUAGGUGAAGUCAUAGCAUCCAUCCUGGAUCCAUACCGUAUGGUGGCAAGUCACUUAACCUCUCUAGGCCUCCGUUUUCUCAUCCAAAUGAAAGGGGGAAUCAGAUGACAUGUGAGACCCUUUCUAGCUCUCACUUUCUUUAAUAAGAGAAAUACAUAAAAAAUUUAAAUAAGGUAGGCCCAACGUGCUUUUAAGAGUGACAUGAAGUGGGGAUAGCUGCUUUAUUUCAUGUGGGUAGAAAGACCCUAAAAUAUUUCUUAUGUGUCCUUGCUCUCAAUUUGCCACCCAAUAAGCCAAACAAAGAAAUCCUCCUCCAGUUAAUUUAGAGUCCCGAAGCUAAUUUUGACCAAAUUGGAAGGAGAAGCAGAAGGUGUGGCCUAAGAAAUCCAUGGCUUCCCACACAACAGAUAUACGUGAUGGGAAGUCUGCACGCACACACACUCGCGCACACACACACCGGUGCUCACAUCAUCUUCCACCGAAGCUCAGUACCAGUUUCUCCAGCCCAGUUGUCAUGGCAACACCAGCUGCCAAUGAGAUCAUGGAAGACAAGGUUAUAAUGGCAGUGGUGCCUUAAUAUUUUACCUGGCAAUCUCACUUAGAUAAUAAGAUGAAUAACCAUAAAUCAUAAAUCCAUAGGAAGCCCAGGCACUGCUCUCUGUAUGUGUUUAAUGUGCACUUGCCGGUGGGGAAGAGAAAUGAAGGCAAAGGGAAAGGAAUGGAAAGGAAGGGAGGGUGAGGCAGGGGGUGGGGAAGAUCUCUGAUGCUGAUCCCCGUUACUCUGCAGUGUAGGUAGGUCAUGCACGGGUCCUGAACCUGUUUGUGCAUGGAUUAAAGGACUGGUCUCUUCUGCAAUGACAGCAAGGGGUUAGGGGCUCCCAGCCCUAAUCACAGAAGUGUGAUUACAAGAAACCCAAGGCAACUGUUUUCUGGGGUUCACACCAAUGGAGGAGAGAAGCAGCCCAGGCAAGAUGUACAUGGCAGACGAUGACCCUGCCCUGCAGCAGCUCACACAGUCACCCAGCAGGAGGCUGGACCCCGUUUAGAAGUACCUUGCUGGUUGCCUCCCCAGUCCCUUGAUGCCCACUGGCUUUUACAGACUGGUCCACUCCAGGGCUGUCUGCUGUCCAUCUGAACCAACUUCCUAAAGAGCAAAUCCAUUUGAUUUAAGGGUUUCCUUCCUUUCACAGGAAACUGAUCACAGUGGGGAUCUCUAGUAAGAGCUUCAGCACUGGGGAGCAGGGGUAGGAGAGAGACUCAGUUUACACUGAAUACCCUUGGAGAGUGUGAAUUUUGUAUUACGGGCAUGAAUCACCCAGUCAAAUAAAGGACACGCCAAGGUCCACUUGUUUCCCUUGUCCACCUACCAGGGACUAGACGUGGUGGCAAGAAGGGCCAAGGGCAGGGCAGUCUCCAUGUAAUGAAGCUGAUGAAGGAAAUGAUUUCCCACCAGUGGACUUGUGUUGAUCUGAAACUCUCAUGCAGUCUGUUUCUAGGGCUUUAGUUGUAUGACAAACAGGUUCCAUUCCCAGUGCAAAGGCAGUUUGGGGCUCAGGGGUAGGAGAGGAAUAAGAGCCUGGAGGAUGUCAGAGAGGUUGUUGUAGCUGGCCCUCACCUACUGGCCUGUACCACCUGGUUCCUCCCACCGGUUCAGGAGAAGGGCCACCAGUAGGGCAGGGAGAGGCCACAGAUAUAGAGUGCCAGGAACAGGGAUCAAAAGUCAGAAGACUCACAUUGAGCCCUGACACCUCUUCAGAGGAGACACUUGACCUCCCUGAGCCUCAGUUUCCACUCUACGCAGCAGUGUAAGUGUCCAGGCCUUACAGCACAGUAGUGAGGAUGAAAUAAAAACAUUUCUUCUUGUGGCUGCCUGGGUGGCUCAGUGGAUUAAGCGUCUGACUUUUGAUUUUGGCCCAGGUCAGGAUCUCAGAGUCAUGAGAUUGAGCCCUGUGUCAGGCUCUGUGCUGAUUAGCGUGGAGCCUGCUUGGGAUUCUUUCUCUUUGCCCCUCCCCUGCUUUCUCUCUCAAAAUAAAUAAACUUAAAAAAAAAAAAAAAAAACCUUUCCUCUUAUUUAACAAAUAUUCAUACUCUACUUGCUAUGUGCCAAGCUCUGUUCUAAGUUAAUUUCAUAUGAGACUGAAGGAGGCUCUGUGCUGACAGCUCGGGAGCCUGUUUAGGAUUCUCUCUCUCCCUCGAUCUCUGACCCUCCCUUGCUUAUGCACACUGUUUGUCUCUCAAAUUAAAAAAAUUGUAUUAACGAGACUGAAGCAUAGAGAAUUUCAGUAGCGUGUCCAAGAUCACACCAGAAUCUAGAACGUAGCACAACCAGGAUUCCAACCGGACAGUCUGGGUCCAGACUCCACACACUUAACCCUUUUUCUGUAAGGAUGGGACACGUCUCCUAGUGGCUUCUCCUCAGUUUCUUCUUUUAGUCAUUUCUGAGGGGCUGGAAACUUCUGCUACUAUCUCCUGACCUUUUUGUGGUCGGUUGAUUGGCUCCUGUGUUCGAAUGGGUGGCUUCUAGUUCCCCGCUCUCCAUUUCACACUCCAACCCCACCGCAGACUCCCCACCAAGUCAGAGGGGCUGGACGACUGAAGGUGGGGCAUUCUGGGGGUGAGGCACUGAGACCUGCAAUCAGCUAAGAGUGAGGUUGGGUUUUGAGCCUGUGAGCACAUGUGCCCUUAUAUACACCUGGAAUGACCCUGCCCUCGUCAGUGAGUUCUGGGCCAUUCGGUCAUCCUAGGGAGGCUUGGAAGGACUGAAUACACUAGUUCACUUUUUUUUUUUUUUUUUGUGGGAAAAUGGACUUAAAAUUUACCAUCCUAAUCACUUUUAAGGGCACAGUUCAGUGGUAUUAAGCACGUUCACAUUCUGCCAUCUACCACCAUCCAUUGCCAGAACUUUUUCAUCUUCUAAAACUGAAACUCUGUCCCCAUUAAACAUGAACUCUCCUCCCCACCCCCAGCCCCUGGCACCCAUCACUCUCCUUUCUGUUUUCUGUGACUUUGACUAUUCCAGGUUUCUCCUAUUAGUAGAAAUCAUACAGUAUGUGUCCUUUUGUGACUGAUUUACCGCACUUAGCAUGAUGUCUUCAAGCCUUAUCUAUGGUGUAGCAUGUAUGAGAAUUUUCUUCCUCCGUUUUUAAAUUUUUUUUAACUUAAAAAAAUGUUUAUUUAUUUUGAGAGAGAGAGAGAGCCCAGGAGGGGCAGAGAGAGAGAGAGAGAGAGAGAAAAUCCCAGGCAGGCUCCAUACUGAGUGUGGAGCCUGACGAGGGGCUGAGUCUCAUAACCAUGAGAUCAUGACCUGAGCCAAGAUCAAGAGUCGGACGCUUAACUGACUGAGCCACCCCAGGUGCCCCGAAUUUUCUUCCUUCUUAAGGCUGAAUCGUAUUCCAUAAGAAAUUCACCACACUUUGCUUAUCCACUCAUCUGCUGAGGGACACUUGGCUUGCCUGCAUCUCUUAACUAUCGUGAAGAAUGCUGCUGCACACUGGUGUAUACGGUACAUUGGUCUUUUUAAGACCCGGCUUUCAGUUCUUCUGGGUGUACAGCCAGAAGUGGAACUGUUGGAUCACGUGGCAAUUCCAUUUUUUAUUUUCUUUGAGGAAACUUCAUACAGAGUUCCGUAACGACGGCACCAUUUUACAUUCCCACCACCGAGGCACAAGGGUUCUGAUUUCUCCACAUCCUCACCCAUGCUUGUUAUUUUCUGGUUUCUGUUGUUAUGGUUUUGGGGUGGCCGUCUGAAUGGGUGUGAGAUACAAUCUCCUUGUGUUGCGUUGUUACUUUUUGUUCUGUGUCUUAAAAUCCUUUUUAUAGUUUCGGUGAUAUCUGGGUGCUGCCUCCAUCUUGCGUUCAUGGCUUAGGAUAGUUAAUUACACACACACACACACACACACACACACGCUUACACACAUGCAAUAUUGAAGGGAUGGUUUGCUGCUGACAGAUGAGGUCCUGUGGAUGUGCAUAAUUUAGAACCAGCUCAACUUCUUUUCUGUCACCAGUUUUUUUUUUAAAUUAAUGUUUAUUUAUAUUUGAGAGAGUGAGAUUGAAACAGAGCAUGAACAGGAAAGCGACAGAGAGAGAGGGAGACACAAUCCGAAGCACCAGCACAGAGCCCAACAUGGGGCUCGAACCCAUGAACUGUGAGAUCAUGACCUGAGCCUAAGUCAGACGCUUACAUUACUGAGCCACCCGGGCGUCCCUCAUCCAUUUUAAUAUAUUUUUUAAUGUUUUUAUUUAUUUUUGAGAAAGAGAGAGCACAAGCAGGGGAGGGGCAGAGGGAGAGGGAGACACAGAAUCAGAAGCAGGCUCCAGGCUCUGAGCUGUAAGCACAGAGCCCCAUGCAGGGCUCGAACUCACACACAGAAAUCAUGACCUGAGCUGGAGUUGGGUGUUAACCAACUGAACCACCCAGGUGCCCCUCCCCUCAGCAGUUUUAAUCCAUUGUUGGGGACCAUUGAGUUUCCCUUUGGCCUUUAUCCAAAAGGUUCAGCAACUAAUUUCUUUGGGAGUUUUGGUUCAGUUGGGCUCAUUUCACCCGGUACACAAGGGGGAAAAUGACAACUGCUUUCCCCAACUGAGCUCUCAGUUGCUCAUUUGGCAAAAUAAAAUAUCACAUUACUGGUUUUUCCAUUUUGAUUCACAGAAAUGACAGACCAUAUCAGUAACAGAGAAUGUGCCUAUUUAAGUGAGUCUUAUGAUUAUUGGUCAUUUUUGAAGGCAGAUCUCUUUGCAUUGACAAGGGAAAGAAGUUCAUGAUGUAGCAAGUGGAAAAAAGCAGGCUGCAGAAUAAUAUGAAUAAUUUGAUAUAAUUUAUGCUUGAAUAUACAUAGACAUGUUCUGAAAGGAUACUAAAAAAUUAGCGCCGGCUACCUUUUGGAGGAUCGGGCCUGGGUGUUGGGGUAAGGUGUGAAAUCCUUCACAUUUUACUUUAUACCCUCUGACACUACUUGAAUUUUUAGCCAUAAGCAUGUAUCACAUUUUAGGAAAAUAAAAGGGCUUUAUACUAUUGAUUUUUCUCCUGCCUCCAGCUGUGGACAAACAGCUCUGUCCUAGGUCAGGUUCUCUGGAGGCAGAGCCUGGGGGUGGAGCUUCAUGGAAAGGGACGUGUUGAGGGAGUGGUCUUGGGAAAACGAAAUUGCAAGGUAGGAAAGAGGAAGAAGAUGGGAAAGGAUGUGGCUUCUGAUGAAGCCUGGCCUGAAUCCACGGAAAGCUCUGGACUGUGAAUGACACCACAGAGCUUGACCUGCCCUGAACCAAGGGAGCUGGGCUUUUACUCUCUCUUCCCCGACUCAGUCCUUAGUAUGAGUAACUGCAUAUGUUGGGGGUGGGGACGGGGGUAAGUCUGGGUGCAUCCUGGCAAGCUGGCUGUACUAACCCAGAGUGGGUUUCCGGGAAAGGCUGCAGAUGUGAGCCAUCAGCCACAGCACCUGCUGCAACUGGGGUGCCCCCGUGGGGCUGGCACGGGGAGUCCCAGCGGGAUCUGGGCCACACCUGCUUCCGCCAGUGAACUGGGAACUGAACAGACACUGGCUUCUUUAUAAACAAACUUAUAAGCUGUAAAUCAAUUUGUGAACGCCUUUUUUUUGGGGGGGGCGGCUAUGAAAAAGUACAGGCUACAGGACAUUUUAAAGCUGAAAUAUUCAAAUAAAGAAAUAAAGAGUAAAAAAAAAAAAUGGAAAAAUCCAGUGAGACUGCAAGAUUUUUGCAAUUGUGGGGAAAAUCAUCAGACAAUUGGAAGGGCUCGGAGCUGCUGACCAGGGCCAGAGCUGUCCAGGAAGUGAGUGUUCUAACCUGGGUGUUGAUGGUGGGGAGCAGCUUUUUUUUUUUUAAUAUUUAUUUAUUUUUGAGAGAGAGAGAGAGAGAGAGACAGAGUGUGAGCAGGGGAGGGGCAGAGAGAGAAGGAGACAUAGACUCCAAAGCAGGCUCUAGGCUCUGAGCUGUCAGCACAGAGCCCGACGCGGGGCUCGAACUCACGAACUGCGAGAUCAUGACCCGAGCUGGAGUCAGAUGUUUAACCAACUGAGCCACCAAGGCGCCACCCUCCCCCCCCCUUUUUUUUUCUUCACGGACAAUGUAUAUCUCAUGAUUGAUUGAUCUGCCUUCUGCUUUGGUUGUUGAGAAAAUUCAAAUCUAGAUUUGAAUCCAGGACUAAGUAAUCUGGGGAAGAUAGGCAAAUAAAGGCAGAGAUUGAUCUUGGAGGGUGAUUGGAAGGCCCCAAAUUUCAUCAGCUUCCUUGACAUAUUUAGCCUCCCAGAGGCCUAACCAUGAGUUCCCCUGCUCUUACCAGAUAUGCCCCCCACGAGGCAGGAAAGGCUCCCACCUGCUCGUUCCCCCGGACGACUGGCUGCACCCCACCCGCUCCUCAGCGUAACGAGUUUCACCUCCCUGCCAGCUCCAGAUGUUAUUCAAACAAGCCCAUCGCAUUCUCCUGCCAGAACCAGAGCUUACCCCCCACCCCACCUUAUUUCUACAGAGCAUGACCCCUGAGAUCCCUGGUUGCUCAGUCUGUUUCUCCGUGCAGCCUCCAUGCGGCCCUGCACAGCAUGCUGCAUCCUCCCUGCCGGGCUGUGAAUGUAUGUGACCAGUGAAGCACCAUCAUUCUCAUCUGUCCAGCAACCAACUGUUGUGUGCUCAGCCAUCUCCCAGCAUUUAGGGCAAGGGACCCCUCUCUCACCAAUGGGGUGAAUAGGAGGCAGUCAGAACAGAGAGACAUUCUCAGUCACGAGAUUUUGGUGCCUUUAUUAGAACUUGCCAUAUUUGCAAACCCUUACUACCUCACCUGGGGUGGGACCAGCAUAAAGUGUGAGUUGUCUUUUCUUUGCCUUUGAAACUUUACCUCCAUACAAUGCAGUAAGAAAGUUUAAAAGCUAACUGAUCUAGGGGCGCCUGGGUGGCUCAGCCAGUUAAGUGGCCGACUUCGGCUCAGGUCAUGAUCUCGAGGUCCGUGAGUUCGAGCCCCGCGUCGGGCUCUGUGCUGACAGCUCAGAGCCUGGAGCCUGUUUCCGAUUCUGUGUCUCCCUCUCUCUGACCCUCCCCUGUUCAUGCUCUGUCUCUCCCUGUCUCAAAAAUAAAUAAAACGUUAAAAAAAAUAUUAAAAAAAAAAGCUAACUGAUCUAACAAAGAGAGUGUUCUAGAGAAAACAACAGAAGAUGCAUUUGAGAAACACCCACCUGCUAUUUCACUUCUGUGGGCGAUACCAAGAGGCUGUCUCCUAAGAUGCCAAGAUAAUUUGGCAGCUAUCGUACCAGGCUGACCUAAAAAGUGAACUAUUGAAAUUCGACCUCUGUAAACGAGAGAUUUGCUUUCUUCUUAGUUCCAUACUCAUGAAAAGGGAAAUUGCCACCAGAAUCAAUAAGGAUUUUUAGUUCAUUGUUCUAGAAUCCACCAUGAACUCGUUUGUCCACCUGAGGAUUAUGAGUUUUAUGGAGCAAAAUUUGCCUUGAAC
rnacentral:lncRNA from 1 species